UACGUAGGGUGCAAGCGUUGUCCGGAAUUAUUGGGCGUAAAGAGCUCGUAGGCGGUUCGUCGCGUCGGCUGUGAAAUCCCGAGGCUCAACCUCGGGUCUGCAGUCGAUACGGGCGGACUGGAGUUCGGCAGGGGAGACUGGAAUUCCUGGUGUAGCGGUGAAAUGCGCAGAUAUCAGGAGGAACAUCGGUGGCGAAGGCGGGUCUCUGGGCCGAUACUGACGCUGAGGAGCGAAGGCUAGGGGAGCGAACGGG
rnacentral:rRNA from 1 species